UCCAACAAGGAAAAUGAUAAAAAUUUUCCCUAUUUGCCACACUUUUAUUUGUUUUUUUUAGGGUUUUCUUUUUCAAUAGAACUGCAAGUUAAAAAGAUAACUGCUAAUGCUAAUGGAGAUGGUGGAGGACUUGCUUGAACACCAUUAAUAUUAGGUAACAUAUAUGUGGUCCCCAAACAUCAUGCUAUCCAUUGAAGAUAACUAAAGCAGUUGUGACCACAUGGAGUUUUAUGUGAAGGAUGCCAUUCUACAGAAAAUGGACUUGAAUGUUGCAUGCCAGUAAUGGGUACACACACUCACUUGCACAUUAUUUCCAAGUCCAUGGGUUAAUGUUCCUGGGUACCUAUAUAAUAUUGUGUGUAUUUGUAUUUGCCCAUCGCUGUUCGGUGGUGUAGCAGCCAUAUUGAAUUGUGCUGCCCCCUAUAUCAAAGACUUGUUUUAUAAUCUUUUGGUUGUUAUAGUUGACAAAAUACAUUUUAAAUAAACCUUUCGAAAACGAA